rnacentral:rRNA from 1 species
GGAAAGGCGCGCGAUACAGGGUGACAGCCCCGUACACAAAAAUGCACAUGCUGUGAGCUCGAUGAGUAGGGCGGGACACGUGGUAUCCUGUCUGAAUAUGGGGGGACCAUCCUCCAAGGCUAAAUACUCCUGACUGACCGAUAGUGAACCAGUACCGUGAGGGAAAGGCGAAAAGAACCCCGGCGAGGGGAGUGAAAAAGAACCUGAAACCGUGUACGUACAAGCAGUGGGAGCACGCUUAGGCGUGUGACUGCGUACCUUUUGUAUAAUGGGUCAGCGACUUAUAUUCUGUAGCAAGGUUAACCGAAUAGGGGAGCCGAAGGGAAACCGAGUCUUAACUGGGCGUUAAGUUGCAGGGUAUAGACCCGAAACCCGGUGAUCUAGCCAUGGGCAGGUUGAAGGUUGGGUAACACUAACUGGAGGACCGAACCGACUAAUGUUGAAAAAUUAGCGGAUGACUUGUGGCUGGGGGUGAAAGGCCAAUCAAACCGGGAGAUAGCUGGUUCUCCCCGAAAGCUAUUUAGGUAGCGCCUCGUGAAUUCAUCUCCGGGGGUAGAGCACUGUUUCGGCAAGGGGGUCAUCCCGACUUACCAACCCGAUGCAAACUGCGAAUACCGGAGAAUGUUAUCACGGGAGACACACGGCGGGUGCUAACGUCCGUCGUGAAGAGGGAAACAACCCAGACCGCCAGCUAAGGUCCCAAAGUCAUGGUUAAGUGGGAAACGAUGUGGGAAGGCCCAGACAGCCAGGAUGUUGGCUUAGAAGCAGCCAUCAUUUAAAGAAAGCGUAAUAGCUCACUGGUCGAGUCGGCCUGCGCGGAAGAUGUAACGGGGCUAAACCAUGCACCGAAGCUGCGGCAGCGACGCUGAUGCGUUGUUGGGUAGGGGAGCGUUCUGUAAGCCUGCGAAGGUGUGCUGUGAGGCAUGCUGGAGGUAUCAGAAGUGCGAAUGCUGACAUAAGUAACGAUAAAGCGGGUGAAAAGCCCGCUCGCCGGAAGACCAAGGGUUCCUGUCCAACGUUAAUCGGGGCAGGGUGAGUCGACCCCUAAGGCGAGGCCGAAAGGCGUAGUCGAUGGGAAACAGGUUAAUAUUCCUGUACUUGGUGUUACUGCGAAGGGGGGACGGAGAAGGCUAUGUUGGCCGGGCGACGGUUGUCCCGGUUUAAGCGUGUAGGCUGGUUUUCCAGGCAAAUCCGGAAAAUCAAGGCUGAGGCGUGAUGACGAGGCACUGCGGUGCU